rnacentral:rRNA from 1 species
AGCUCCAAUAGCGUAUAUUAAAGUUGUUGCAGUUAAAAAGCUCGUAGUCGGAUUUCGGGUCGGGCCGAGCGGUCUGCCGAUGGGUAUGCACUGUUUGGCGCGGCCUUCUUUCCGGAGACCGCGGCUACUCUUAACUGAGCGGGCGUGGGAGACGGAUCGUUUACUUUGAAAAAAUCAGAGUGUUUCAAGCAGGCAGCUCGCUCUUGCAUGGAUUAGCAUGGUGUACAUCCAUGGAUAAUUGAAUAGGACUCUGGUGCUAUUUUGUUGGUUUCGAACACCGGAGUAAUGAUUAACAGGGACAGUCAGGGGCACUCGUAUUCCGUCGAGAGAGGUGAAAUUCUCAGACCAAUGGAAGACGAACCACUGCGAAAGCAUUUGCCAGGGAUGUUUUCA